rnacentral:rRNA from 1 species
GACGAACGCUGGCGGCGUGCUUAACACAUGCAAGUCGAACGGAAAGGCCCUGCUUGCAGGGUACUCGAGUGGCGAACGGGUGAGUAACACGUGGGUUAUCUGCCCUGCACUUCGGGAUAAGCCUGGGAAACUGGGUCUAAUACCGGAUAGGAGCCAUUUUUAGUGUGAUGGUUGGAAAGUUUUUUCGGUGUAGGAUGAGCUCGCGGCCUAUCAGCUUGUUGGUGGGGUAAUGGCCUACCAAGGCGGCGACGGGUAGCCGGCCUGAGAGGGUGGACAGCCACAUUGGGACUGAGAUACGGCCCAGACUCCGACGGGAGGCAGCAGUGGGGAAUAUUGCACAAUGGGCGCAAGCCUGAUGCAGCGACGCCGCGUGGGGGAUGACGGCCUUCGGGUUGUAAACUCCUUUCGCUAGGGACGAAGCUUUUUGUGACGGUACCUAGAUAAGAAGCACCGGCUAACUACGUG